UUCAAAUGAUACUUGUGUUCCGAAUGCUUUUGAAGGAACAACGGUCAAGAAUUGGAAGAUUAGACGCAGGACGUCUUGUUCCUUCUUUGAGUCUAAUUAGAUACUUACUAUUUUGUUGUUUUUCAUGAACACAACAAAGAUAGCUGCUGGUUCUCCUCACGGAUCAACCAGUCCUUUUAAACUUGUUUUUCUGCUAUUGUUUUCUCUCUUUUUUUUUUUCUUUUUCUUUUUAAUUCUGUUCUAAGACACUUCAACUCGUUUAAAAUAUUCCCAACCUUUCUCAAGCUCCCAAUCCCCCUGUCCUCUCCUUCGAACACAUCUCAUUGAAUUCGAACUCAAGGUCUCCAUUUUUAGCAUCAACUUCGGCUCCGAGUUUAGAAUUAGAUUGCGAAAGUAGAAACAUCUAUUCCCCUGGUUGUUCUACCGAACAUGGGAAAUGUGAAGGAACGCUUAUUUCAUAUAGUCAAGAAUUGUUCUCCUUUUUUCAACAACUAAGAUUUUAUUCAUAGUCUUAAAGAGUUGAGAACAAAAGGUGAACUUAAUUGAAAAGAAA